GAUGUUGAUCCAACGGCCAGGAACUCAAUUCUCCAUUCCCUUAUAAUUGUCCGAAUCAAGAAUCCCCUACCUCCAAAACCCUUCCCAGAUGCCUUCUUCUCCUCUCUCUCAUCCUCCGCCUAAAGCCGCUGCCGGAAAUAGCCUACAGUGGCGGCACCACUCCAAACAACCCCAAAUCUUCACCCCACAAUUCCCACUAAUUUCCUAUAAAACACCUUAAGGUUCCCCAAAUUUUAGAUCUAAAUUUUAGAAAACCUAACUUUUCCCCAUUUCUAGUUUCUUUGGCGAUUUCAACUCGUUUUGAACUAGAACCUACGUUGAUUGAUUGUUCUUAACAAGCCUUUGUAUAUUUAAUUUUGUCUAAUCCUUUGAACUCUAUUAACUCUAAGUUUCUAAUCUAUUAGAGAUCAAAUUCUUAUUUCGAAUUAAUUCCAAAAUUUAACUAGUGAUGCACAAGCUUUAUGGGAUCUGAUUAAGUUUCGCUCAGGACCUAGAAAUGUGGAAUGGGCUAGGAACAAGGCCCAAAAUUAGUCUCAAUCUGAGCUCGCUUUAGGAACAAAAUAUGAAAGAAUAGAAAUGUAAGGGUUCUAAGGGGGCUUGAAAAUUUGGAAAUCUUAGUUUGUAAUUUAGAAAGCUUGCAGGAGUUGCUAAUUUACAAAGAAAGAAAAUUAAAUGGCCAGGUAUUAGGGUUGAAGAGUAAUUGAAAUGGGACAACUGUCCAAAAUCUAUUAAAAGAUACUUUUCUCCUACACGCACUCUCAUUCUCUCAUAUAACUCACUUUUCAAUCUGCAUUAUUAGGAGGAUUGACUCUCUUCUCCACAAGAAUUGACUCCUCUUUCAUCUCUGAUUUCUUUUUCAUGCAUUUUCUCACCUAAAAGAAGUUCAAAAAUACAUUUGUUUUAAAAAAAAUAAAAAAACAAAUGUUCGUCUUGCCUUCUUUUUUUUUUUAAUUUGUUUUCCAGGUUUUUCUUUGUUGAGCUGCUGGGAUUUUGCUGUUGAAAUGAAGCUAUUUUCCUGUUGGCAUUCUGCUAUUUGAGAGAUUUAUUUUCUAGUUUUUCUUUGAUUCAUCGCAAUCAGGUACCUCCUUGAACCUUGGACUACAAACUGGAUAUGAAACUUGCCUAUGUGGAAGAGAUAUGUGUAUUGUGAAAUUGAUGAAAUUAGUCAAGUUGAGUUUUCAAUUCUUUUGUUCUUUCUAGAUUUUUAUUCUUUUUUCUAGUUUCUUGGUCUGACCCGACAUAUUCAAGGGAAUGUGCCUUGGUGUAUGCUAUUUGCUGAUGAUAUAGUCUUGAUANNNN
rnacentral:lncRNA from 1 species